GAGAGCGGGGGAAGACAUGCAGCUAAUGGUUGACUGGCCGGGAGUCGAGCCGGCGACCUCUGCGACGAGGACUAUAGCCUCGAUACGUGUGGACGUUUAGACCGCUCGGACACCAGCGCCCCAAUUGCAGUCAGUCACAGCUUCAUCAAGCUCUGCAGCUGCCGUCUGAGGUGUUACACAAGGGACAAACACUGCCUCCAACAAACAACCUAUAUCCAAUCACCAUGGAAACAUUGACCCCGACCCAGCCUCCUCACCCAAAGGCAUGGGGACACAAGCGUAUGAUAAGCAGCUUUCCAACCUCGACUCGGGUCUGGACUUUGCGUGACUCCCAGCCCAUCCAGUUAUGACGCCAGUUGCCAGAGGCCAAUGUGAAUCUCAUAUACAGCCGCCGCUAUCAGUCGCUCCUUAGGGGCGGCUGGUACUCAGUGAGGGCAGAGAUAGUCGACACUGUGAGCUCAUUGUGCCGCCGCUCCCUGCUACAUAGUGUGACAGAAUAAUCACACCAAUAACACUCUCCCUGGCUCGAUGUCUGCACAGGAGCUCCGAGGAAGGAAAUUAAAGAAACAACGAGGAACGAGGGCUCCACUCAGGAUCCUGCAUCGUAUUUUAUUUUCAGCCCCUCCUGCGCCGCAAACAGAGGACGUCCAAGGCAAUAAGGCUCACAGCCUGUGGAGGGAAUUGUUUUGCCAAAAAUAUUUGUUGUUUUCAAUAAUGUGGUUGUUUGUACUGCACAGAGGAGGGGAGAGAAAAGAAGAGAGGAGAGACUGUGGAUCACAAACAACAGCUUGUUGUGUCCUUAAUUCACUGUAAAAGCUUCUUUCUCUUACCCACUCAUAGACUGUUUUUGUGGAUUUGGGGAAUUGAUGUUUUUUAUACCUACCUCUUUAUAUGUCAUCUCAGUCUAAGGAUGUGUAAUACAUUAUUACCUCUCUUUAAAUUCAAGUGUGAAGUGGCACACUGUUUUAAUGAUAUGAAAUGCACAUAUUUGAAAAUCAACUCUUAAAAUAAACACUACUGUAGUGGCGAGGUUUAGGUCCUUAUCGAUUAAAAUGUAGUCUCUUACAUGGGACUUCCACCAGAUCCAUGUCUG